AUUGAACGCUGGCGGAAUGCUUUACACAUGCAAGUCGAACGGUAGAGGGGGCAACCCCUCGAGAGUGGCGAACGGGUGAGUAAUAUAUCGGAACGUGCCCAGUCGUGGGGGAUAACGUAGCGAAAGUUACGCUAAUACCGCAUACGAUCUAAGGAUGAAAGCGGGGGAUCGCAAGACCUCGCGCGAUUGGAGCGGCCGAUAUCAGAUUAGGUAGUUGGUGGGGUAAAGGCUCACCAAGCCAACGAUCUGUAGCUGGUCUGAGAGGACGACCAGCCACACUGGAACAGAGACACGGUCCAGACUCCUACGGGAGGCAGCAGUGUGGAAUUUUGGACAAUGGACGCAAGUCUGAUCCAGCCAUUCCGCGUGCAGGAUGAAGGCCCUCGGGUUGUAAACUGCUUUUGUACGGAACGAAAGGUCUCUCUUAAUACGGGGGACUCAUGACGGUACCGUAAGAAUAAGCACCGGCUAACUACGUGCCAGCCGCCGCCGUAA
rnacentral:rRNA from 1 species